rnacentral:sRNA from 1 species
AUUUUUUUAUUUAAUUAAUGUAGAAUAACACAUAUCAUUUUCUUGUGUGAUGAUGUGUCACUCAUAUAGAGAAAAGAGUUGACCAACUUUCACAUAUAUGAUU